rnacentral:rRNA from 1 species
AAUCUUGCGCAAUGGGCGAAAGCCUGACGCAGCAACGCCGCGUGCGGGAUGAAGGCUCUCGGGUCGUAAACCGCUUUCAGCAGGGAUGAAAUUGACAGUACCUGCAGAAGAAGCCCCGGCUAAAUACGUGCCAGCAGCCGCGGUAAUACGUAUGGGGCAAGCGUUAUCCGGAUUUAUUGGGCGUAAAGCGCGCGUAGGCGGCUUGUUAAGCCAGAUGUGAAAUCCGGGGGCUCAACCCGCGGCUUGCAUCUGAAACUGGCAGGCUUGAGUCUGGUGGAGGAAAGUGGAAUUCCUGGUGUAGCGGUGAAAUGCGCAGAUAUCAGGAGGAACACCAGUGGCGAAGGCGGCUUUCUGGGCCACGACUGACGCUGAGGCGCGAAAGCUAGGGGAGCGAACAGG